rnacentral:rRNA from 1 species
CGGCGCAGCCUGAUGCAGCCAUGCCGCGUGUAUGAAGAAGGCCUUCGGGUUGUAAAGUACUUUCAGCGGGGAGGAAGGGAGUAAAGUUAAUACCUUUGCUCAUUGACGUUACCCGCAGAAGAAGCACCGGCUAACUCCGUGCCAGCAGCCGCGGUAAUACGGAGGGUGCAAGCGUUAAUCGGAAUUACUGGGCGUAAAGCGCACGCAGGCGGUUUGUUAAGUCAGAUGUGAAAUCCCCGGGCUCAACCUGGGAACUGCAUCUGAUACUGGCAAGCUUGAGUCUCGUAGAGGGGGGUAGAAUUCCGGGUGUAGCGGUGAA